GAUGAACGCUGGCGGCGUGCCUAAUACAUGCAAGUCGAGCGAACAGACGAGGAGCUUGCUCCUCUGACGUUAGCGGCGGACGGGUGAGUAACACGUGGAUAACCUACCUAUAAGACUGGGAUAACUUCGGGAAACCGGAGCUAAUACCGGAUAAUAUAUUGAACCGCAUGGUUCAAUAGUGAAAGACGGUUUUGCUGUCACUUAUAGAUGGAUCCGCGCCGCAUUAGCUAGUUGGUAAGGUAACGGCUUACCAAGGCAACGAUGCGUAGCCGACCUGAGAGGGUGAUCGGACACACUGGAACUGAGACACGGUCCAGACUCCUACGGGAGGCAGCAGUAGGGAAUCUUCCGCGAUGGGCGAAAGCUUGACGGAGCAACGCCGCGUGAGUGAUGAAGGUCUUCGGAUCGUAAAGCUCUGUUAUUAGGGAAGAACAAAUGUGUAAGUAACUAUGCACGUCUUGACGGUACCUAAUCAGAAAGCCACGGCUAACUACGUG
rnacentral:rRNA from 1 species